GGCCAUGUUCGCAAGGUGCUCGGGCCCUCACCUCUGUCUGUUUCACACUUACAGAUGCUGGUUUUCAAAUUCAUCAGUGCACACUUGCGACUGCCACCGAGGCAUGAAAGCAGCGAAGAUAAUACCCAAACGAACAGAUCAUUCUUUUCACAGCCAGACACUAAGGGGCACUAAGAACAUGGAGCACCAGCCCAGCCCUUGAGAAGUUGGCAACGAGUAGGAGUCACUAAAAGCACAGAACAAAGCACAUGUGCUUUGGAGCCAUCAGACCUGAUUGCCCAAACUGGCUCCACGACUUCCCAGGUCCUUGGCUUGGGGCCAUGCCCUUAACCUCCCUGAAUGUAUUUGCUCAUCUGUGUAAUGGGGCACCUGACACCCAGCGCAAAGGGCUGUCAGCAGGAUUAAAGAAAAUAUGUACAAAUCCACCAGCCUAACGCCUGACACAUAUAAGUGCUUCUUUAAUAAACGGUUGUCAGGAUUAUCUUGACUGUUAGGGAAACAGACAUAUUAAUAAGAAAAAUUAUAAUAUGUGGCAGUAGGUGCUUUUUUUUUUUUUUUUAAGAUUUCAUUUGUUUAUUUCACAGACAGAGAUCACAAGCAGGCAGAGAGAGAGGGGGAAGCAGACUCCCUGCCGGGCAGAAAGCCCGACGCGGGGCUUGAUCCCAGGACCCCGAGAUCAUGACCUGAACUGAAGGCAGAGGCUUAACCCACUGAGCCACCCCGGCACCCUGGUGGUAGGUGCUUUU
rnacentral:lncRNA from 1 species